rnacentral:lncRNA from 1 species
UGUACUUUGAUUAUCUUUUUCUUUUAUCCUCAUUUAAUUUUAUUUUUCUUAAUUUUUUAUCUUUUAUAUACCAUAAAUUAAAACUAAUUAUAUUAUUAUUAUUAUUAUUAUUAUUAUUAUUAUUAUUAUCUAUCAUCAUAAAUAUUAUAUUGUAGACCUCUCUUUGGAUCGGGAGGAGCUGAGAUUUUUUCGACCUCCACAAGUGUUCAAAGCCGCAUGCAUGGGACGUGUGUCAAAGACAUGACCACCUUGCCAUGGUGGUGGUUAGGGAUGAAGACUUUUUUGCUAAACAGGGAGCAGUAGAGUAGCUUGGAGAGGGUAAAAACAGGAAGGAUUGCAGGUAAGGGAGGUCGAGUGGGGUUAGAGAAAAAGUAGGAGCUAGGGGUCACUCAAGAUUAUGGUAGAAGAUACUCAAGGGGCUGGAACUCAUGGAUGGAAGCGAGAUUUCAGAUGAGGAGUGAGCUGUUUGGGAGGGCAAGGAAGAGGAAAGUGAGGAGGAAAGUUUAUGUAAAAUAAAAGGAAAAGAAUAUUUUCCUUUUUAUUGAAUUAUACUAUUGAAUCAGGAGACGUAGCUUUAUACAAGAGAUUUCCUACAAUCAUGUUAAUCAUGCUAAUAUAUUCUUGGUAGUCUAAAUAUAAAAGGCAACUAAUACAAUAUGGUUGGAUAUUUUUGUCAAUGGAAAGCCAGAUGUCAUUGACCUUCUCAACACUCCCCUCAAGUUGGAAAGUGAAUGUCAAGAACUCCCAACUUGCGCAUCAUAGUUGAGAAAGCUUCCUUUCCCAAUGACUUGGUGAAUACAUCUGCAAGUUCAUUCUUUGAAGCAACAUGUUUGGUUACAAUUGAACCAUCUUGUAUUUUGUCAUGAAUAAAAUGGCAAUCCAUCUCUAUAUGUCUGGUUCUUUCAUGGAAAACAGGAUUGGUUGCUAUAUGGAAUGCGAUUGUGUUAUCACAAUACAACAAUGUUGGCUUCGGAUGCAAUAUUCUCAAAUCUGUCAAUAACGAGCACAACCAGGAUAAUUCACAACAUGCACCUAUCAUAGUUCUAUAUUCGGCUUAUACUGAGGAGAGAGAUACGUUUUUAUGUCUCUUUGUCGACCAAGAAAUAAGAGAAGAUCCUAGAAAAACAUAAUAACCUGGAGUGGAUCUAUGAGAUAUUGGACAACCAGCCCAAUCUGAAUCAGAAAAAGCUCGCAAAGAUAAAUCAUUAUGAGAAGGGAAAAAUAGACCUUGUCCUGGACUACUUUUCAAAUAACGCAACACACGUAAGGUAGCUUCCAUGUGUGGUUUGCGUGGUGCAUGCAUGAAUCUACUUAACAUAUGGACCGAAUAGGUGAUAUCUAGCCAGGUAAUAGUCAAAUAAAUUAUGCGUCCAACAAGUUGUUUAUACUAAGAUGGAUCUUUAAGCAAUUCACCUGAAUCUGAGAGCUUUAUGUUUUGUUCCAUGGGAAAGCUCACAGGUUUAGCACCCAAAAAACCACCAUCUUUUAAAAUUUCCAAAGCAUAUUUUCGUUGUGAGAUGGAAAUAUCUUUCUUUGAUCAAGAAACUUCGAUGCCCAAAAAAUACUUCAAAUCACCCAAAUCUUUAAUCUGAAAAUGACUAUAAAGAAAUUGCUUGAGUGCUAAUAUGUCUUUGACAUUAUUACCCGUAAUAAGAAUGUCAUCAACAUAUAUUAACAAAGUUGUAAAAGAUUUGCCUUUCUGACAUGUGAAUAACGAGUAAUCAACUUUGGAUUGAGUAAAUCUAGCAGCUUGGAUAACUGUAGAGAACUUGGAAAACAAUUGUCGUGAAGUCUGCUUUAAACCAUACAACGACUUGUGAAGGCGACACACUUGAUUCUCCCCCUAUCGUUGAAGACCAGGAAGUGAAGUCAUAUAAAUUUUUUCAUAGAGAUCACCAUGAAGAAAUGCAUUGUUGACAUCAAGUUGGUGAAGACACCAAUUUUGGGCAGCUGCUAAAGCUAAUAAACAACAGAUAGUAAUCAUUUUAGCAGUGGGAGAAAAAAUGUCAUGAUAAUCUAAACCUUCCAGUUGUGUGUAACCUCUCGCAACUAAAUGAGCUUUGAAAUGCUCAAUAGUGCCAUCUGAGUGCCGUUUGAUUUUAGAAACCCAACGACAACCAAUAGGCUUUUUACCAGGAGGAAGAGAAGUGAGGGACCAAGUGUGGUUGGCAUCUAAAGUGACCAAUUCAGAUUGCUUUACUUUUUUCCAAUGGGGAUGAAAGACCGCUUCUGUAGACUCAAUAUCUUGACAGACAGUAGCAAUAAAGGAGCGAUGUUGUGGUGAGUAAUGAUAAUAAGAGACAAAAUGGCAAAGGGAAUAUCGCGUACCUUUUUCUGGACUUGAUGACAAAGGCGAAAAAUGGUUGGGAGACCAUUUUCAUUUUAUUUUAUUUUUCUUAAUUUUUUAUCUUUUAUAUUUUAUAUACAAUACAUUAGCACUAAUUAUAUUAUUAUAAUUAAUAUAAAUAUAACUUGAAUUUAUAAUUUUUUUGCAAAAUCAAAAUAGAAAUAUUAAUUUUUAAAAACAACCCACCCAAACAGAUUUUUUGCUUUUUAUUUUUUAAUACUAUUUUUAAAAACAACUUUCAAACACUUUUCCUUUUAGAAAAUAUUAAAAAAUUGUUUUUUUUUCUCUUUAACUUAGAAAACGUUGUGAAACCACCUAAGUACUUAGGAAUUCUUGUCAAGUUAUUACUAUUUUUUUUUUCAAAAUUUAUUUUAGGUUUCUAAAAACUUUUUUCAAAAAUUUUAAAAUGAAAAUGUUUUACUUCCUUAAAUUUUAAAAAUUGUUUUUAAUUGCAGAAGGUAUAUAUAUAUAUAAAGAAUUUCUAUAUUUUAUCUACAACUUUCUAUUUUUAAAAUUAAAAAAUAGAAAAUAUAUCUUAACAUAACACAAGAUAUUAUUUUUGUUUAGAAUUUAUUAAUGCAGUUAAUCAAUAGAUUUGAGAUUGAAGUUAAUAAAAGGUGUUUUCAAUAACAUAAUAAUUAAUAAAAUGAGAAAGAAAUUUUUUUUAAGUCAUUAAGUACUAAACAAACUAAGGUUAUAUUGGUUAAUAUUAACGGAUUGUUUUUAGUUGAAUAGAAAAAAUCAGAAUAAGUAAAAUAUUUUAAUUUUUUAUAUUCAAUUAAAAAACAAAUAUUACUUAAGUGACUCUUAAAAAAGGUCAAGUGAACUAGAAUGAAUCAAAUGUUAGUCUACUCAAUUGGACGGUGUUAGGCACUUAAUUUUAUCUUAUUUCCAGCAAAAUAGCAUGCGAGUGUACCAUGGGAUAGGCCAUCUUUGCAAUUUCCUUUGUAUUUGCUUUUUCCCCUUUUCUUUUUUCUCUCAAAUUUCUAAAAUCCAAAUGAAGCAUAAAAUUACUAAAUAGGAUAAAGCUUAUCUUUUGGAUAUGAUUGCAUGGUGUUCUCACUGACUGCUCAUUCAAACCUCAAUCAUACAUACAUUUCAAAGCUGAAAACAUAAAUUCUAGUUUCUAGCAUUUGCAAGUCAUACUUUUUCAUCCACACAGAAUGAAUUAUUCCCAAAUUGUAGUGUGUUUUUGUCAAGGAUCGAGAUUAAUGCCUACCAGUCUGCAAUUAGAUGAUCAGUACAAGUAGACCAUCCCAUGUCUCUUUAGCAACUGUUUCUCUUUCAAGGACUCACAUUCAGACAUCAACUCAUCCCACUGCUUGUCUUUUGGAACCGCUUCCAACCAUUCAGCGCUACGCCAUAAGAUACAAGGUUUCAAUUCCAUGUCUAUAUAUAUUAUAUAGUCCAUAAUCACCUAUGAAGAAAUUAUUAUUCAUGUUUGUGAAACUUAAACUAACAUAUAAAGUUAAAAUGUAAGAUAAAUGAAGGAAUAUAAGAAAUAAAUCAUGAGGAUCAAGUACUCUGGAACAGAAAUGAAAUUCUACGUACCUGACAUGGGAAACCAACUUAAGCCUCAAUUGAUCAGUUGAGUGUUGUUCCAGCUUGGUUGAUCAAUUCCAAGACCCGCACGGUAGACAAUGUAAACUUGUUCAAAACAAGACUUCAAUGCCUCAAAAAUAAUAAUGGGCAAAUACUCUGGAACAAGUCCUAAAGUGGUUUACAAAUUAACAUAACUGGUCUGGAUCUUUUAGGCCAAUAUUUAUUUAUUUAUUCUUUUUGUUUUUGGGGUGGGCAUAUUUUUACAUCCUAGAAAUUUUAAACAGCAAAAAUAUAAUCAAGAAUUUAAGCUCCUUUAAUCUGUUUGCGGUGGAAACUUACACCAGAAAGGAAAAAUAACUUACCAAUAAUGUUGUCAUGGCUUGAAAGGUCCAAAACCAGAGACACAGAGAGAGACUAUCAAGGAGGAGGAGCUCUGGGGGUGCCAUUGUGAAUCCUACAAUUUUGGCCUUGGAUCUAUGCAUGGAACCGUCGGUGGAUCAUCUCAAACUUUUAGGGGCUUCUGAUCAUUACUAGAGCUUACCACUUCCAACUCCACUGGUGUUCUCAAGAUCAACAUGUACAAGACCAAUCCCACACUUUUCCACCUUCACUGGUUUACCAUUAACAUGGCCACGAAAUGAAGCCAUUAAAUGCCUUCGUUUAUCGGAGCGAUAUCUGUGCUUAAUAGCAACAUUAGAAUAAUACGUUACCCACACUGACUCUGAUACACCAUCAUUAUGGUCGCAUUGGCAGGAUGAUCCACAGGAGAGAUAAUCCAAAAACCCAAUUUCAUCAUCAAGGAAAGUCAAUUCACAUCCUAAAUGAUAAGGUUGCGUGAUAUUCACCGUGGCAUUCUCAGACGUACUACUCGCUGGUUCAUCCAUUGAUUUAUCCAGAGGUUCACCCUGUUGUGGAAUAUAAACACAGCAUAAAGCCAAUCCCAAGAAGUCCUUGUCGUACCAAUUAAGUGGUAGCCGUAUUGUUGCUUCACUGCUAAUACGCUGGAAUGAUAUCCACUCUGGAAGUUCUCCACUUCCAGGGAUAACAGUACUAAAUCCCUGGCUGACACCAUUUGCUGGAAGAGACAAAAGCCUUCUGUAUUUCAACUCCUGCACAGAAGGUACCAUGUUAAACAUUGAGCAUGACUGCGUAAAAUUUCAAGUUUUGGGCCCAAAUAGCCCAUUAUGGGAAAAUAAUUAAGUUUAACCACUUUGUCAAAUUUAUAUUCAAAGUAACCCAUUUAUUACACAUAGGAGCGAUAUCAUUAUAUUUUUUUUCUUAAAUUUAAGUUAAAACCUCAAUUAUCAACUAUGGAUUAAGCUAAAAAAUGACGCCUCGAUAUCACAAACAUGAUUUUUAAAAACUUUGUGAAACCACCUAAGUUCUUAGGAAUUCUUGUCGAGUUAUUACUAUUUUUUUUUUCAAAAUUUAUCUUAGGUUUCUAAAAACUUUUUUCAAAAAUUUUAAAAUGAAAAUGUUUUACUUCCUUAAAUUUUAAAAAUUUUAAAAGUUGUUUUUAAUUGCAAAAGGUAUAUAUAUA